GAUGAAGAACGCAGCGAAAUGCGAAAAGUAAUAUGAAUUGCAGAAUUCCGUGAAUCAUCAAAUCUUUGAACGCAAAUUGCACUCCUUGGUAUUCCGAGGAGUACACUUGCUUGAGGGUCAGUUAAUAAACAUCGUACCAUCUUUUGGUGUUGCGGAUCUGGGUUAUCCGGUUUUAAGUCGGUUACCUAAAAUUAUUAAUUAUUGUAAUGUGAUACGUACUAAGAGAGUCGUUAAUCAUUAAAACAAUAUAUAUAUAUUACCUCUAAUUCUUUUUUAUUGGUAAAGUAUAUAAUUUUUGAGAAUGACAUCAAGUCAAGUGAGAGUACCCGCUGAACUUAAGCAUAUCAAUAAGCGGAGGA
rnacentral:misc_RNA from 1 species